rnacentral:lncRNA from 1 species
CCCUCUAGCUUGGUCAAAAUUGACUCUUUGUCUGAAAGAAGGAGAAGGAUUAGGCACUGUGGCCUUAUUGAAUCCAACUGAAUGUCUAUUAGUGUUGACAUUGAAAAAUAUAGAGUCUGAAUUAAACUGAGAAGGGGACUGGACUUGUCUCUGCUUCUCAUCAUUGAGGACCAUAUUAUAGACAUUGUCAAGGAUUGGAGGUGGCUGCAUCAUCAAUAAGUUACUCCUUACCCCCAUAUAUGCUUCAUUAAGGCCCAUUAGAAACUGAAACACCUUAUUCUCAUCAUUUUCCUGUAUUAUACCAUCUUUGGCAGCACAAAACACAUCUUUGCCCAUUAUUUGUACACAUUGAUUCUAAUUCAUCCCGCAGACCUUUAAGUUUAUUAAAAUAUGAAGCUACAUCUAGGGACCCUUGAGAGGUGUGAGAAAGCUCUCUUUUCAAUUAAAAAAUUUUGGACCUGUUGGCAGUGCCAUAUCUGGCCUGAAGCUGGG